rnacentral:rRNA from 1 species
CACGUAGGCACCAAGCGUUGUCCGGAUUUAUUGGGCGUAAAGAGCUCGUAGGCGGUUCAGUAAGUCAGGUGUGAAAUCUUUGGGCUUAACCCAAAGCGUGCACUUGAUACUGCUGUGACUUGAGUUCGGUAGGGGAGUGGGGAAUUCCUAGUGUAGCGGUGAAGUGCGCAGAUAUUAGGAGGAACACCGGUGGCGAAGGCGCCACUCUGGGCCGAAACUGACGCUGAGGAGCGAAAGCGUGGGUAGCAAACAGG